GCUAAAUAUUGGCGAGAGAUUGAUAGCGAACAAGUACCGUGAGGAAAGAUGAAAAGAACUUUGGAAAGAGAGUUAAACAGUACGUGAAAUUGCUGAAAGGGAAACGCUUGAAGUCAGUCGCGUCGUCCGGGAAUCAGCCUUCCUUCUGGUUGGUGUACUUCCUGGUCGACGGGCCAGCAUCAGUUUUGACCGGUGGAAAAAGUUCGAGGGAAUGUGGCACCUCCGGGUGUGUUAUAGCCCUCGUUCGUAUACAUCGGUUGGGACUGAGGAACUCAGCACGCCGCAAGCCGG
rnacentral:rRNA from 1 species